GUUUUCCAGUCGGACAGUAAAUACUGCCGUGCUCUUUGGUGACGUCACUUCCGUAAUAAACACCGCCAUCGAGAUCGCUGGUGGUGCCGUAAUGCCGCUGAGCCAAAUGUUUUUACACUGUAAAGGAAGUGAAUCGGCAUAUCCUUCUCCAAAAUGAGCCGGGACGUCCCUAUCCACAGCUGGCCCGGUUCCUAUUACAUCAACAGUGAGAAGCGCUGGGAAAAUGGCACCCUGUCCCUCACCAGGACCACGGUUCGCUUUGUCUCCACUCAGACCAAGGAGACUCUUACCAGCUUCCACCUCUCCCGCAUCGUGGAGAUGAAGAUGGAGUCCUCCAGCUUCAUCUUCAGCACCCUGACGGUGCUCGAAGAAGGCAACGUCAAACACUGGUUCGGCUCCCUGAAGCCCAACAGGGUGGUGGUUUACAAUGUACUGGAACAUUUCUGGAGAGAGCGGCUUCUGUCCCCCGACUCAGAGGCCCGCGGGGCAGAGUCUCAACCCUCUAAAGGCAGAGAGCUGAUCGGCCUGGUGGCAGGGGCCCAGAGGAGGCUGGAGGACACAGGCAGGGUCCUCAGCCACCAAGGAGAGCAGUUCGAUGACAUGAUGCAGGGACUAGAGAAGAUUGACUCUGACCUGGGCGUGGCUGAUAAACUUUUGUCAGAACUUGAAUCUCCCGCCUGGUGGCCUUUUGGUAAACUCCCCUGGAAGACUCACCAGGAAGCCAAGGCUGAGGACGCUGCAAGAGCUGCAGCGGCUGCCGCCGCCUCAGCUGGUAAAGGAUCUGCUAGAAAUAAGGUCAUCGCAAGCAUCCCAGCGGUGGUGUCCAGAGGGAGCGACUCGGACUUGAAACCCGGAUGCUUUUUGGUGCUGGUGUCUUCACUGGAGGUGCGGGACACAAACUGCCAGCUGCUUCACCGCUUUGAGCGCAAUGAAGUAGAUGAAAUCCGGGUGCACAAUCCUUAUGAGAUAAGUGUUAGACAGCGGUUCAUAGGGAAGCCAGACAUAUGCUACCGGUUCCUGUCUGCCAAAAUGCCAGAAGCCAUGUCAGUGUUAGAGAUGCAGUAUAAAAAGAAGGUGGAGUUCACCAGUGAAUUCAGCGCUUUCAAGGCAACUCCAGUCUCUUCUCCAUGUGACAUGGAAGGAAAAAGCUGGAAUGAAGGUUUGCUGCAGAAGUGCCAGGAGCUCCCACUGGAGGUCCCAGCAGGAGAGCUGUCCCAGUUGCAGGUACAUGUCCUUCAGCCAUCUGUCAGUCAGGCUGAGGCCCAGGAACUCAAACAGAUGCUGAUGCAGCUGAAGACUCUUGCCCUGGAAGCAGAGACGGAGCUGGAGCGCCAGGAUGAGGUGCUGGAUGUCCUGACCAGCUCCACGGACCGAGCCACCAUGCACAUAGGGAAGCACACCUGCCGUAUGAAAAAACUGCUGUAGCUCAGACGUCCGAGCAGAUGAACACACUCCCCGUGUCCCUCUGGAGAAAGGCUCUGUGCUCCCCCAGCGCGUCUGACACACUGACCUCCCGGCCUCUGCUGGCAGCGAGGCCGUCCAGGAGCCGGGCCGCGGGCAGAUCAAAGCGGGAGCGAUGCCCCACCAGCAGAGAUAAAUACACGCUUCCUCCCAGCUCGCUCGCACUGCUUUUUCCCACACUCCUUGAACUCUCCUGCUGCAGCGGGGCCAGCUCGCAGGAAACGACCGACCACAUCAAGCGGCCGGGCUGCUUUAACGGGAGCGCCGGUGCCAGGCUUCACAAGAAAUGCAAGAGGUCCAAUCCAAACUACUACAAGCUGAACUCCUGCCAGCCAGGUCUGGGCCAGGGAGCCGUGGGGAUGAAUACCAGAGGUAUGUCAGACCAAUGAGAAACAGGUGGCUGGCAGCAGCAAAUGAGUCGCAAGGACAAGUGCAAAUUGCCACUGGCAAUAAUUGAAGGUCUUUAAAGGGUGGGUGGGAGACGGCCGCCCGGUGCCGAGGACGGGUUCAGAUUAGCAUCUUCAUCGCUCCCAUCAUCUCCAAGCAGAGCACGAGGAGCUUUGAGCUCCGCUGCUGGUGCUGUGACAGUCACAUUAGCGGCGAGAAAAAACAGUGUCCGAGCUUUUUAGCAACAUGUUUGUUUAUUUUUCCUCCAGUUCCUUUGUGGGUUUUGUUUAAAGCCCUUUGGCCGGGGAUGAUUCCGCCUGGCGGCCCCCCCUCCUCUCCACCGCACACCUUCCCUCUUGCCAUCCGUAAUUACCACACUGUUCGAGUCCUGGCCUGUCCAAAAGCCACUGCAGGUCUGAUUUUUUUUGGCUUGGCUCCUCUCUGACAUGCCUGGGAAGGGCAAGGAAAGGAAAUGGGUGGACCAGCCGCUCUCCGUUCCCCUCAGAGCAGGCCUGGGAGAAGCCAGCCCUGUGUUUUUUGAGUCGGGCCGAGCUUGUAAGGGAGCGCAGCCCAUCUGGUUCUCAUAAAUCCUCUAUGUGGCUCCACAACUGGAAUUGCCUGUUUGGGGACGUGAUCGCUGAUACAGUCAUUACAAAACAACAGGGAAGAGGCCCGGCGCAGCUCCGAGCGUCAUCCGUCCUCUCCUCUGGUCCACAAACAUCAUCGCGCUCUGAAGACCUCCAAACUCCAAGAAGCUGCAGUCGGUGAUGAAUGGUGACCGUGCUGUAUGCAUUCCUGCCAGCAGGGGGCGCUCUACCCCUGCGAUCUGCUUAUUGACUUGCGUAAUUUGUGAAAAACACAAUUAGGGGUCACGGUCGGACCGGUGCUAAUUGUUAUAAUGAGCCCAAAGUGGUCAAUUAGCCUGUUUGCAGUCCUGCGCUACGCAACUAUCAGGUCAAGGGCAUCGCACAUAGUGUCACCCACAAAUUGGCACAAAAGGGAAAAACACUUCUCUACACACAAUUUGUAUUUUUUUUAUUUGCUUGUCACAUAUUCAUAAAUUCUCCAGCAGAACAGAACAGUAAACCUGUUUUGCUGCAUGAAUGAAUGGUAGUAUGGGCACAGCAGAGCGCACGACGCCAUCCGCGGCGUGCCAAAUCAUUAGGUCAUGUGGCGCUAUGCUGGUAAUGUCUGCCUCCCAAUCCCAGGCAUAUAUUUAUGAUCUGUUGGCUGCGAGAGUCCCGCUGACUUGUGCAGAUGAGGUCAAAGCCAUCAAAGUGACCUCACCGCCAGAGACAACACAACAUCUGUCCUCAUCUUUCACACCUUCCGUGGCUGCGUUUCCUCAGACCUCCCUGCACUCGCUUCCCUCUAAUUAGAACCAGUUCGAUUUAGCCGGGGGGGGGGGUGCAUAUCGGUGUGAUGCCUGUAAAACGGGAGAAGGGCCGGUUAUCUUCUAGCUCCAGUCUGGGUUCAGCGCUUGCUCCCGGUUCCCAUUAAAACGCAGCUACUGUAUUAACAGGAGCUGCCUGAGUCCACACACAGGAACCAAAUCCCAUAAAGUCCAAGCAUGUAAUGUAAAUGUCAAUCAGCUGGGCCUUAAUAAUAUAAUGCUCCGACAUCCCACAGGUGUUAUCCUGUAAUUAGGAGGAUUUGGGUGGAGACCACACAUGGAGUAAGCUUGUACUGUACAUGCGUAAUCUGAUUAUGAAAACGAGGCAUGCUGACAUGUUCUUACACUGGCUCCUGACCGGGCGCAGCUAAUAAUGUUGCUAUUAUUCUCCUCGCUGCUUGAGGAGGCAUAUUUCUGGGGAUUUAUUUAAAUGGCUGCCGCGGACGUGCACAUCUGGUGCUGGAUGGCUUGGCUUCAGCGUCACCUCCGGGUUAGUGAUCGUCUAGUGCAGCUCGCUGGUCUCGGCCACAUGUGCUCGCGCGCGCUCUGAUGACAAGUAAAUUCACCCGCGCCCCCCCCCCCUUCGCUCCUCGCCGUGACAGCGAUGAGUGCAUCCCUGUGAUAAAUUCAAAACAGCCACCGCCGCCGCUUCGCCCCACACUUUCCACGCAUUCCUCUGUGAAGCGUGCGAUGCCGACCACCCUCUGACUCCCAUCGGCGCCGGACCCGACGGGACGAGGCCCCUCAUGCCUUUCCUCUUAUCGUUUGAUUAUCUAUGCGCGGCGUCCUUUCAUGUGGCAGCCCAGCGUGCGUGAUCGGCCAUAGCCUCGUUGCCUCAUCGCUUGGUUCUGUGUCUUGGAACGCCACCAUAAUAAAUUGUCAUAGCUGUUAGUAAUAGCAGAAACAUCUGAGGGCCACAUGGGAUGCAACAGGCCCAUUCCAGAGUUCAUUUGUGCCACACAACAGCACAAUACUGUAAAAGUCAAACUCUGCACAUGUGAGUGUUUCUCUCUCUCUCUCUCCCUUCCAUUAUCUCAUGGAGAGCGUAACACCUGGUAUGUAUCAGUAAAUUGAAGGGAGGCGAGGGAGAGCCAUAAGUCCACCUUCAGCCUUCAAAGCACUUAGAGCGUGGAUCUAAGUGCGCUGCACGAUUGAAACCAUCCAAAGAGGAAAUUUAUCACUGAGCUGAAGUUUCGGGGCUCCGUAGGAUUGGGUUUCAUAAACAUUGCAUGCUGGAUGUUUUUCGAGCUCACACUGAUGCCAUUUGAGCUCAGGCAUCUGCAGCAGUCAGGAUGUUCCCGUGUGUAUAUGUCAAGGCCAUUUGUGCGUGUCUGUAAUCGUUUUAGUAACGUUGACUGUAUUACGUCUGUCAUUUAACGCCCUCACAUCAGGGUCCUGUUAAUAUCUGUGGCCUUUGACCCUUUGUUUCUCUACAGUGAUGCUCUAUCAGUCAAAAUCAUUACUUUUUUAACCUACGGAGGAUGUUUCUGAAUAAAUAGCAGUAGUGUCGAUCUGGAUUCUCCAUUAGCGAAACCGAGCCUCGACAUAAAACUAUCCAGUUUCCUCCUGGUGGUGCAGCCGCAGUGACACGACGCUGAUAGGAUUUUUAAUGGCCUUCCUGUGUCCCGUCGUCUGCCUCCGUGAAUCAGGCCCGUUCCAGUAGACUCUCUGGACGGCGAGGUGUCACGUCUCGAUAAAUAACUCGGUGCCGGUGGAAAGAGCGGAUGAUAAGUGGACAGGGAGCACAAUCAUUUACUCCGGAGGGGAAAACAAAUGCAUAUGGUAGCUCCAUAAACUUCAAAGAGGGGACAGACGUCCUGAGGCCGCGGGGCCGUUUUACACGUCUCCUCGGACCACGGAGGAAGGAGAUGUGUCUGUGUUUGGAAAGCAGACGUUCCCCCUGAUCUCAUAUUUAAGAUGUCUGAUUCCACUGCUUUGAGCGAUGAUGCUGUGUUACAUGUCUUCUCGAGGUGAUUUUUAUGCUAUUUAAUUUGGAGCCCCAGCGUUCGUCCAUAGUAACAUGAUAAACAUGGCGUCUGCCAUUAGAGCGAAUAAAGCAAACAAAGCGACUUGCUGAUUUCUCAGCUUUCAGGCCUCUGUCCAUCCUGCAUCAGCAACAUAUAGGCUAAAGAAAACAAGUGGGCCAGAAAGCGCUGGGUGGGUUCGUGCUUCAGUUUCAGCCCUGGCCUGGUCUCAUAAAGGCUGGCGGUGGGGGAAAAUGUGAGCGGCGGACGCUCACGCCCAGCCAGUGUCAGGUGAGUCAUUUUAUGUGGCAGUUCAGGUUGCAGUCGGUCCAAACUGCCGGCGUCUCCUCGCAGCCAGCGGAGGUCAAACGCUGGUUGGAGAGAGAGGGGAAAAACCGAGGUAGACUUUGUUUAUCCUCAUCUGUGGCCGGUUUGUUUUCGUGUUUUGCUUUUAUUUUGGAGUUUACCUAAAUCCCUCUUUUCAGGCCUGGAGGUAAGUCCCCGGGGGCGCUGCCAGAUGACUGCAUGUGUCUCGCUGAGGCUUUCAAGGCCUCUGCACCUCACGAUGCAGACUGCUGACAUGACGCUUAGAGAGAGUGAAGCAGCCCGAAAUCAGGUUCCAUUACUCUUCUCACAGCACACGUCCAGCUUUAACCUCCCGGAUUCAUCCCAGUCUUUACACUGCAGAUUGUUUUAGCAGUGUUACUGGGCAAAUCUGUUCCGAUCGAAUGACUGGAAGCAGAUUAAAGGAAACAAGGAGAUUGUUUAGACUUUACAAUGAGGAACAAACAAAAAAAAAGUGUUCAUAAAGCAGGUUGACCUGUGCUGCGCCUCCCUCCCCUCGUUCCCAAACUCAUCUAAGCCUUUAAUCAAACAGACAUCUGGACCGGUUUCGUGCGGAGCUCGAGGCCUGUUAUGGAGACCACGCAACGAUGUCGCUGUUCAUUAAUAGUGACGCUGACCAUCGCCGGCGCAUUCAUCUUCCUGUCUAACAACGGCGAGGAGCGCAGGCUGAGGACGCGGCGGCGACGGGUGGAUGCGGGGCCGGUCAGCUGAGAGACGGCGAGCAGCGAGUGGCUCCAGCUCACGUAGCAAACGCGAGGCCGAACGAGGCCAGACUGUCUGAAAGCAGUCACUGCGUCAUAUCACAGACGGGGUCUCGUCCUCGGAUCAAGCGUCCCUCUGCAUUAGCCCCCGUUAGUCACGCUCCUGUCAUCAGACAGGCAUCCAGACGCUGCCGCGGGAGCCAGAAGAGCCUUUCUAUCGGAUCUGAUCAGAACGCCGGGGAGUCGGUGUGAGCGGGAGCAGCGAGAUGCUUAUCGUCACUGAUCUUCAUGUCUCAGCUGUUUAUGUGCGGCGUCGCUUUCCCAAGGUUCCUGCCAGCGACGAGCGCGAUCAAUUCAGAGUCGCUUUACCAGUGUUGCGCGUCCAAACCGCACAAAUGCCUCCGUGAAAUGCUGCUCGUGUGAUCUUCUAUGGCCGGAGCCCCAGAGCACAUGAGCUGUGAUGACUGGACGAUGACGCUGGUUCUGCUGAGAGAUUCAAGCUGCGCUCCUGUGUUUGUUUAUGAUGAGUUCUGCAUUUUGCAUCUUCUGUGCUUAAAGACGCUUUUGUGACAUUUGAGUCAAAUUUGUUACAAAAACAUGUUUAGAGCCAGACAAUUUUUCCUCCAGACACUUAUAUAUAACAUAUACAUGUAUUUAAGUACAACCAUAUGCUGUGUUACUGUAGGGUAAUUGAAAGCAGCAGGGGACCUAAUCAUAGAUGCUUUUAAAAAGGUAAAGCUCCAGUCCUCACUUAAUUAAAUAUUUUAUGUUUUUAGCCAUUAAAACGUUUUACAGGAUAUAAGUUGCACUAAUUCUGCAGAAUAAGAAGAAUGGAUUUAGCAUCUGGAAGAACAGUGGAUGUCUCUGCAUUUUGACAUUUCUGGUCCGUCUGCUGUGGGAAUGAAAAUUCAAAAGGAUAUUUUAAUAUGGAAAAUGUAAAUCUGCAUGUGCAUGGGCCUUUGUAAUCCUGACAUAAACCACCAAAGCCGCAUUCCUUUGAAACCUCUUUCAUUAUUCAUCACAAUGUGACUGUGUUUUGUCAUUUUCCUCAACGGCUAAAAAAAUUCGAGCGAGCGGCUCAACAUUAGUGACGCUUGAGCAAAGGUUCGCUCAAAACUGCCUUGGGCGCAAACAAGGAUGUCCCCGCUUCAACGCCUGCCAUAACAUUAAUGAGGGAAUAGUUCCUCGAGUGUUGUGCUGAUAAAGCUGCUUAUCCAAAUGAGGAGUGGACCUUUGAAAAGAGGAAGCCGUUUAUCUGUGCAGUGACAACAGAACUUGUCUGGAGAGUUUCAAGCUCCUCAUCGCAGAAAAACCUGACCAAGUUUUCAGUGCAUGACGUUUGGCCUGUGAACUGUCUACUGUCUAUUACUGGCCUAUUACUGCUCUAUUAUAGAAUGUUUAAUCAAUGUGACACAAUUAUUAUUUUGCAAUGCGCACACACAGGCCUACCUGUGGAACCCGACUCAGGCCGGAGAGGUCACCGCUCGGCUCGCUGCUGCGAAGCUGUCAAAAAUAGCGUGAAAGCUUUGUGACUAGCGGGGAAUAUUCCCAUGAAAUAUCCUCCAGAUUCAGAAUAAUAAACCACAUGCCUGUCCGGUCCCCGAGCAACAGCAUGCUGUGAUCAUGCACGGGCUUUCUGUCAGAGCACAAAUCAUUAAUCUGCAACUGGGCUCCUAGAGCAGGACUCGGUCGGCAUCGGUGGCCUUUCGCGGGUCCGCUGCGCCGUUGCGUGCUAUCUGCUCCGUCUUCUGAAGCCUCAAGGUGAAGAGGAUGAACAGAAACACAUGUGACCUGGGAGUGAUUUCACACUCCAGAGAUGGGUCAGGUCGUUCUCCGUCUUCCUUUGUUUCAGGACGGUUCUUUCAACCCAGAGGCCAGACGCCUGCUAAGUCCAUCAUAAACACUACAUGAAUCUUUCAGGCCUUUCAGGUAUGUGCCUGAAAUAUUUCAAUGGCUACAACACUAAUGCUUGUGAUUUCAGAAGAUGUUACUAUAACUCAUGAGCUAAUGGAACCCACCUGUACCUCAAAACCCGAGUAGAAGUUGAAAGAGAAAAAUACAACCCUCUUAAGAACACACUAUAUCUGUUAUAUGAGCGUGAAUGUGAUCUUAUUAUUGUCACUAAUCAGUUAUUGAUCUCACAUAAUGAAUAUGAAACAAGCUGGCACUGCCAAUGUUCUUUCCAUUACAUUCAACAGGUGCAAUUUAUUUAAAAAUGAGAUUCAACAGAAUUAGAACUAGAAUAAAAACUGCAUGAGGAAAUAAUUCAUGUAAUUAUUCUGUGGCUUGGAUUUGGAAAUCAUCCCUGUUCCAUUCCUUCAGCUUAAUUUGUUAUAAGAACCUGAAUAUUUGUCUAGAAAAUGUGGAUACGUUUCCAUUAGUGCAUAAUUAAUUGAAUAAGUUGCAUCAACGUGGGAAACGUGGCAUUCGCGAUGCGUUUCCCUUUGGCCUGUGAUUUGUUUGGGGAAACCGUGAUGUGAGAAUCCGCUGCCGCUCCCUCCUCAUGUCAGCGUUGCUGCCCGGCAUUUCUGAUACUUCGAGCGCUUGUCUCCUCUAAGUAAUCAUGUAAUCUCUGUCGGGCCCCUCCCGUCCCAGACACAAGCUUGUAAUUGUUUGAUGGACGUCAUCCAAUUGAGAGAUUAAGGAUAUACUGUACGUCGCCAUGUUAACGUUUGUGUCUGACAACGCUGGUGGUCACGAGGACCUGCUGUGAACUGGAGCGCGUCCUCUGCUGUUGAAUCCUGGCUGUGGCUCAACGUUAAUUCCGCCAGUGGUUAAUGGGCUGCUCACUACGUCUUUGGUAUAUUGUUUUAAUAGGGGAACAGGGCUGACGUAAGGAGGGAGCAGCAUUCUGACUGCACAAAAGGGAGGGGAGACCAAAAGGUUUCCAUUGUCUCAAAUGAAGUUGGCGGUGAGAGUGGUGUAUUCGGAUUCUCCCUGCAUGGUGUCAUUUGUGAGAAUUGCUGUAUAUUGAUAACCUGCAUUCGGCCUCAUUUGUGUUUGCCUGUGCUCUGCUGUGGGAGGAACUCGUGCCAUAUGUGACCAAGGCCGAGGGAGCCAGAUCCGAGCCAGACGCUUAAGUGAAUCACCAACUGCGUUGCAUGUGAAGUGUACAUUUUGUGACUCCUUGUUUAUUGCCCACAUUCAGCUUCGUGACUCUCCUCCAGAUUUGUGCCAAGUCUGAGGCCACAUUCCUAAAUCUCUCCACUUUGAUGGAGGAGAAAGUGGCUUGUUUUCCAAACCCGGGUUUCACAUCCACUCUAUGUCCUGAGAUGUAUUCCGGAGUAUAGAAUUACAGUUAUGUUGUGUAUAGCAUAAAGAAAUAUAGAAUGUUUUAGUUUGUUCUGCUUCUAGUAAAACAUUUGUUUUUUAUGGGAAUUUCUACUAUAUAUACAAUGUUUUGUUUGUAGUCCUAUAUAAAUAAUGUAUAUAUGUUUUUUUUGCUUAUUAUCGUUUCAUGAAAAUUUCUUUUUCACUUGUUCAACAUCAAAACAAAUGAAAAUAAGAGAAAAUCAUUAGAGGUUGAUCAGGGUUUGCAGGUGUAGCACUCCUAUGUAAAAUGUCAUAGUAUAGUACGUGGUGAAAAAGCCUCAUAUUAUUAUAUGUGGUUAAAAAAAGUGUCAUAGUGGUGAAAAAACUCAUACUGUAAGAUAGCAUGUGAAAUAAACGUGGCGUAGUAUAGUAUGUAAUGAAAAAGUGUGAUAGUAUAAUACAGUAUAUGAAAGCGUAUGUGAUGUGAAAAAAUGUCAUAGUAUAGUAUGAUAUGAAAACGCGUAAUAUAAUAGUAUAUGAAAUAUAGUAUAUAUGAGUUGAAAAAGAAGUUUCAUAUUAUAGUAUGCCAAGAAAAAAGUAAUAGUAUUUUAUGAUGUGGAAAAAGUGUCAUAUUAUUGUUUUUGGUGAAAAAAUGUCAUAUAGUUUAAUAUUACUGUAUAAAAGGGUCAUAGUUCAGUUCGUGGUGAUAAGUGGGACUUUGGACUGGGACUAUACAGUACAAACACUGGAUUAGAUAGGAUUGACCCAAGUUUUCAUGCUCCAUGUGGUUGUGUUUAUGUGUGUGAGCAGAUAGCUUAGAGGUUUUGAGUGUGGUAUGGGAUUUCAAGUCUCAACAGUCUCAUCAACCGCAAAAAAAGAUUAAACUCCUCAAAAUGAUAAAACAGCAA